CUACAUUCCGUGGCAGCCUGGCUCCAACAUCCCAGGGAAUUGUGUCACUCCCAUUGAGCAGCUGUGGGGCCCUCUCCCACAUGGCCCAGGUCCACCACUCUGUCAAAGGUCGCACAGCCCAGACAAAAACAGGACACAGCAGUGUGUGAAUGAGCCGGGCUUUCUCCUUCCCUCCACGUAAUAGAAGGUGCCUGAGGUUGUUGAAACACAGUCCAUUUCUCCUGGGAAUGACAAGAAUUUGAGGGAUGCUGACUUUCAAGGAAUACUGCAUGACAGGCAUCAAGAUAAACCUGAUGAAGAAAACAUAGGCCAGAAUCUGGGAAUCGGGAGCAAAGUAAUACAGCUUCGGGGACAGGCACGUAAUGAGGUCAUGAUGUAGGAGACUCCCUGCAGGACUGGCGGCCCCUGUUCCCUGGGUUGUUCUGGCUCUUUCAGAACCUGACCCUGGAACAGGACUGAGCAGGUGCCUGUGUGCACAGAAGACCUUGUGUGAGUCCUUUGGUACCACGUUUGCUGCACGAAUGUCUGAGACACCUCACAGUCGCUUGGUUCAGCCUCUCCCUCCUCUCUCCGCUGGGGAACAUCAUCCCUCAUCACUGGAAGAAAUUACAAGGAUUGUGUAAACAAUUACAAGUAUUCUACAAACAGUGAGCAUGCUGGUUUGGCCCAUCUAUUUGUAAGAAAAAACAUGGGGUUUUAUGGCAAUGAGUUACAGCUCUGAACUCCUGGCACAAUCACAAAUAUCCUCAGCACAAAACACCAAGUGUAUGUCUCCCUUCUGUCCUAAAAGGGUAGUGUGUGCAACUCAUUGAUGGGGCUCCCAUUUCAUUUUUGAAAGAUCUGCUCACUGAUAAUACCAGUGAGAUUGUUUUCACCAAGAUCUAUGACAUACAAAUAAACUGUUGCUUCAAAAGCAUCUAGCGGCCAAUUGCUGAUCAUCCAAGUGACAAAAAGCUAACUACUUCAUUCCUAAUUAUUACUGCACACUGCUCACAAGCAUCUCUCAAUCCGUUACCAAUUUUAUCCUUGACUCCUGAUGAAACACAAAUCUCUUUGAUCAGGUUAUCACAUGGCAUAGGUGCAAUGGUGGUUGCUUCAGGGGAAAUAAUUUAAUUCAAGUACUUUGCAGUUUGCUAGGUGCCCUGGGGCAUAGUAUUCUUUGGGCCUCCUAAGGUUCUGAUGGUGAUGAACUGAUUUAACGUAUAGAAUAGUUUUUAAAUGUGAAGUGCUACAGGGACCACUAUGCAGGGAGCUGAAGGGCUAUUGAGCUGGACACUUGAGCAUUGGCUGCAUUGAAUGAUAAAUAUUGCACAAUAUUUCUCUUCCUCAAAAUAGAAAAUGACAAUGGAAAACUUUUAAUAAUGUCAACAUUGGUGACUAGAAAUACAUAUGUGCCUCCUUAUGAAAGCAGGGGUGGUGACUGAAUAGAAUUGUUUUGUUUUUAGAGAACGAUGUUUUUCUUUUUGUUUUUUCUUCUUUUAUAGUAUUUUACUUAAAAAUCCAAGUAAUAGUAUUCUACUGUAUUGCCUUGAAGAAGUAAAUUGAGAAAAGUCAGAACACUUAUGUAUUUUUAUUUAAAAACGAACGUUUUAGUCAGCACCCAAUGCAACAAAAGCAAACUAGAAAUUGCAUGUCAGCAAUAAAAUAACCAGGUUCUUAGAAGGGCGGCCUAAGUCAGCUCUACAGAUUCUCACCUUUGCUGAUUUAGCCGCAUGGAACCUAAUUAAUGGGUAGAUUAUACAUUUGCUCAACAAGUAUUAAUGGAGGUACUUGAAUGAACUGACAGGGCCCAGCCUUAUGCAGUGGUCCUCAAAGGCUUGUUCAUAUCUUGAUUUGGACAUCAAAAGAGAAGGCCGUCGCAGGAAAUCGGAGACCUUGAGCCUUUACAUGUCCACCUCAGAGACUAGACGUAACUGCCUGCUAGAAAUAGUGGCGUGAGGAAUGCGAAAGGGAGAAGUUGUUUGAAGGAUCUCAGACUCCAUGCCGUGUACUUUGAAGAUGAGCUUUAGAAAUUGCACAUCAAUAGUUACUGCAGAAGGAGCAAUAGGAACUGAGAACAUCUCACGCGGCUUAGUGCGACCGAUAAACACCAGCUGAAGCUUGUGUCCUGCACAAUAAACCUUAUUUGCUGAUCUCUGAAGGUGCAAAGCAGGGCACUACUGCUCAGCAGCCUCUGAUGACGGCCUUCAGACAACACUCCCGCACUGGGUUUAUGAGAGUAACCCCCACCUUCCCAGGAAGUUGGAAGCAUUGCCCCAGCCUUUCCAGAAGCUCUGCCUGCCGUUAGCUUGGAUCAUGAAAAUUGGCUCGGCCAGGAGAAUACAUUAUAAGGCCCCAAACCGCGCCAAAUCUUAAGCCCUCAGAGCAUAAAGAUAAACUGAUUUACAAUUAUUUUCAUUAAAAU
rnacentral:lncRNA from 1 species